rnacentral:rRNA from 2 species
GGCGGACGGGUGAGUAACGCGUGGGAACGUGCCCUGUCUCUGCGGAAUAGCCACUGGAAACGGUGAGUAAUACCGCAUACGCCCUUCGGGGGAAAGAUUUAUCGGAGAAGGAUCGGCCCGCGUUAGAUUAGGUAGUUGGUGGGGUAGAUGGCCUACCAGAGCGCUACGAUCUAUAGCUGGUGUUGGAGAGGAUGAUCGAGCCACACUGGGACUGAGACACGGCCCAGACUACUACGGGAGGCAGCAGUGGGGAAUCUUAGACAAUGGGCGCAAGCCUGAUCUAGCCAUGCCGCGUGAGUGAUGAAGGCCUUAGGGUCGUAAAGCUCUUUCGCUGGGGAAGAUAAUGACUGUACCCAGUAAAGAAACCCCGGCUAACUCCGUGCCAGCAGCCGCGGUAAUACGGAGGGGGUUAGCGUUGUUCGGAAUUACUGGGCGUAAAGCGCGCGUAGGCGGAUCAGAAAGUUGGGGGUGAAAUCCCGGGGCUCAACCUCGGAACUGCCUCCAAAACUCCUGGUCUUGAGUUCGAGAGAGGUGAGUGGAAUUCCGAGUGUAGAGGUGAAAUUCGUAGAUAUUCGGAGGAACACCAGUGGCGAAGGCGGCUCACUGGCUCGAUACUGACGCUGAGGUGCGAAAGUGUGGGGAGCAAACAGGAUUAGAUACCCUGGUAGUCCACACCGUAAACGAUGAAUGCCAGUCGUCGGCAAGCAUGCUUGUCGGUGACACACCUAACGGAUUAAGCAUUCCGCCUGGGGAGUACGGUCGCAAGAUUAAAACUCAAAGGAAUUGACGGCCGC